UGGGGAAUAUUGGACAAUGGGCGAAAGCCUGAUCCAGCCAUGCCGCGUGUGUGAAGAAGGUCUUCGGAUUGUAAAGCACUUUAAGUUGGGAGGAAGGGCAUUAACCUAAUACGUUAGUGUUUUGACGUUACCGACAGAAUAAGCACCGGCUAACUCUGUGCCAGCAGCCGCGGUAAUACAGAGGGUGCAAGCGUUAAUCGGAAUUACUGGGCGUAAAGCGCGCGUAGGUGGUUUGUUAAGUGGGAUGUGAAAUCCCCGGGCUCAACCUGGGAACUGCAUUCAAAACUGACUGACUAGAGUAUGGUAGAGGGUGGUGGAAUUUCCUGUGUAGCGGUGAAAUGCGUAGAUAUAGGAAGGAACACCAGUGGCGAAGGCGACCACCUGGACUAAUACUGACACUGAGGUGCGAAAGCGUGGGGAGCAAACA
rnacentral:rRNA from 1 species